UUGAGCGGAUAUUCCGUYGGGAGGUGCAGGUCUCGGGGSUGGUGGUGAUGAGGGACGUGYCCAUCGCCAAGUCAGAGUUCGUCCCUGACCAGAAGGCCAUCUCYAAGCUGCAGGACUUCCAGGAAGAGCCUGAGUUAUUCCUCUACUGUAGCCUGCYUCAGGUAAUAAGACAUCUCGUCACUCCAUGCACCAGGACCCGCAUUAUUUUCCAUUCUGUCCGGCGGACCGUAUUGUGUGUUCCUGCACCGCCAUGGAGAAGGUUCACCGCCAGAACGGCUCCCUGUGUGGGUGUUGGCCAUCUCCUGCCACUAUGCCGGAGCUAACUGCUACUAUAUUGACGUGAGGGGAACCACCCAGGAGAUCAUAGGGUAGGAGGUGUACAAGAUCRCAGCAAGGAAAUAUGCUGUUGAUGACGUCACAUGUGAGGAUACCUGGGCUGUAAGAGGCCGUCUGGUGCAAGGGGAUAGGACCAAUCUGUGAGAGAGCCCGCCCACUGCAGUGUGACGGUCACUCACCACUAACAACCUACCAAUCAAAGGAGAUUGAAAAARGUUGACAAAUCCACCAGCCAAUAAACUGAGUCUCAGUGACGGGAGUAAUUUAUUYAUUGGGCGAGAGAGAGUGUCCAAGAGUCCAGUCAGGGAUGUUUUCUUGUUGUGUUCAACAUAUUAAACUAAAUGGAUGUUAAUUGCACAGUUAAACAUUGAUUGAAGUAAUCAUCUUCUGCCUAACAAGAAAGUACUUACUGUGUGGUAGACUGGAGUGAGAGGAGCAGAGGUAGAUUGAGAGUGAGAGAGAGAGAGUGAUAGACUGGGAGAAAGAGAGUGUGUAUGAGAGAGAUGAGUGGAUGAAGGUGAAUAGCAGGCUAUUGCUGUUAUGAAUAUGAGUGUGUUUUAGUACACUUUGGAAACCAGGUACUCAGGGUGUCGCUUUGUAGACCAGUCCACCAUGAAAUACCAGUAACCUUGAUGCCUCAAUAUAACAGAAUCCUAGUUGUAUUUUACA